rnacentral:rRNA from 1 species
GUCUAUAGCCAUACCACCCUGAACAUGCCCGAUCUUAUCUGAUCUUGGAAGCCUAAGCAGGGUCGGACCUGAUUAGUACUUGGAUGGGAGACGGCCUGGGAAUACCCGGUGCCUUACACU